rnacentral:rRNA from 1 species
UUGGAGGGCAAGUCUGGUGCCAGCAGCCGCGGUAAUUCCAGCUCCAAUAGCGUAUAUUAAAGUUGUUGCAGUUAAAAAGCUCGUAGUUGAAUUUCGGGGUCAGUAGGUUGGUCAUGCCACAGGUAUGUACUGGUCUCACUGGUUCCUCCUUCCUGAUGAACUGUAAUGCCAUUAAUUUGGUGUUGCGGGGAAUCUGGACUGUUACUUUGAAAAAAUUAGAGUGUUUAAAGCAGGCUAACGCCUGAAUACAUUAGCAUGGAAUAAUGAAAUAGGACGUUCGAUCCUAUUUUGUUGGUUUCUAGGAUUGACGUAAUGAUUAAUAGGGAUAGUUGGGGGCAUUAGUAUUCAAUUGUCAGAGGUGAAAUUCUUGGAUUUAUUGAAGACUAACUACUGCGAAAGCAUUUGCCAAGGAUGUUUUCAUUAAUCAAGAACGAAAGUUAGGGGAUCGAAGACGAUCAGAUACCGUCGUAGUCUUAACCAUAAACUAUGCCGACUAGGGAUCGGAUGAUGUUAAUUUUUUAAUGACUCAUUCGGCGCCUUACGGGAAAC